CUGUGGGAGACCGGGAACGUGUCAGAACAACUCUGAUUGGUUGGCCCACCUCACGCAGGGCCACAGCUGCUCUACUGGGAUGAUGGACGGUUAGGCCGAUUAUAUUGACCUACCACGGUGAAACUGGCCUUUACUUUCGUACCCUGGGUUAAAUCUACCCUCUUGGAAGAUGGAUGGUUGAAGAGUUUCAAGAGACUGGACACUCACCACGCCCCACAGCUGCUGUCUGGGCUUCCUCAUCCAUCUCCAAGAAAAGGAAAAGUGACAUUGAUUGCACUCC